GCCCCUCCAGGGAAACCAACUAGCUCAAGGAGAUGCCAACCUUGGAAUUAACCGACGACCUUCAUCCUUCCUGGAAGGUGGUUCAGUAGAGAUCCCCGAGUUCCUCCGGAAGAAAGGAGGCUCUCGCUAUCCUAGAACUUAAGAUCUUUGGUAUGCUUCAAAUAGUGUCUCUUAAUCUCCGAGGAAGUGUUACCCGACGCCCUUUCUUAAAUGAAUAGAUUCUUGUUCUGUUUUUCAGUAGUCAUGCCUGGUAUAUAUUACUUCUUUGGCAGUCAAUUGGUUAUAAGCUGGAGCUUUUUACAGCAAGAUAUGGAAGCGUGAUGAGUCGGUAGCCUUGACAUGCAUGAAGUGUACCGUUAACAUGUCUGUUGAGUCCGGUGUGUGUGUGUAUGUGCAUGCAUGUUUCCAUCCGGGUAGGGUACGUCAAAACGCGUCCUAUCUAUGUUCUUGCCAGUAGGCAGAACUGCAAAACUGAGAUAUUAGAAACCAGUAUUUGUGAAAAGAUGAGUGAUAAAGGUACACUCUUUCUAGUGCAAAGAUAUUGUCCCCAGUUUUGACAUUUGUGCUGAG
rnacentral:misc_RNA from 1 species